rnacentral:rRNA from 1 species
CGGACGGGUGAGUAACGCGUGGGUAACCUGCCUCAUACAGGGGGAUAACAGUUAGAAAUGACUGCUAAUACCGCAUAAGCGCACAGGGACACAUGUUCCGGUGUGAAAAACUCCGGUGGUAUGAGAUGGACCCGCGUCUGAUUAGCUGGUUGGCGGGGUAACGGCCCACCAAGGCGACGAUCAGUAGCCGACCUGAGAGGGUGACCGGCCACAUUGGGACUGAGACACGGCCCAAACUCCUACGGAAGGCAGCAG